AACGAUCGCUGGCUGCAUGCCUAACACACCCCAGUCGAACCAGACCUUCUGGUCUAUUUGCUCACGGGUGCGUAACGCGUGGGAACCUGCCCUUAGGUUCGGAAUAACCCCCCGAAAGGGGUGCUAAUACCGGCUAAUGUCUUCGGACCAAAGAUUUAUCGCCUUUGGCUGGGCCCGCGUUUGAUUAGCUAGUUGAUAGGGUAAAAGCCUACCAAGGCGACGAUCCAUAGCUUGUCUGAGAGGAUGAUCAGCCACACUGGGACUGAGACACGGCCCAGACUCCUACGGGAGGCAGCAGUGGGGAAUAUUGGAAAAGGGGCCAAAGCCUGAUCCAGCAACGCCGCGUGAGUGAUCAAGGCCUUAGGGUUGUAAAGCUCUUUUACCCGGGAUGAUAAUGACAGUACCGGGAGAAUGAGCUGCGGCUAAAUCCGU
rnacentral:rRNA from 1 species